rnacentral:rRNA from 1 species
AUUGAACGCUGGCGGCAGGCUUAACACAUGCAAGUCGAACGGUAACAGGCCGCAGGUUGCUUCCUUGCUGCGGACGGGCGAGUAGGUGAGCGGAACGUGGCCAACCGCCGGAGGGAGGUGGACGACAACGGGAAUAAGUACCCAUAACAGCAUAGCGUCGCAGCGGGAGACCGGGAGGCCUCCGGCGAUUGGACCGGCCCAUGUGGGAUUAGGGAGUUGGUGGGGUAACGGCUCACCGAGCCAACGAUCCCUAGCUGGUCUGAGAGGAUGACCAGCCACACUGGGACUGAGACACGGCCCAGACUCCUACGGGAGGCAGCAGUGGGGAAUUUUGCACAAUGGGCGCAAGCCUGAUGCAGCCAUGCCGCGUGUAGGAAGAAGGCCUUCGGGUUGUAAAGUGCUUUUAGCGGGGAGGAAAGGAGUAUAGUUAAUACCCGGGCUUAAUGACGGUACCGUAAGAAGAAGCACCGGCUAACUCCGUG